rnacentral:ncRNA from 2 species
CCGUUCUCAACGGGGUGCUGAAUGACUCGAUGCGCAAUGCGGCGAAGAGUGAGGAGGCUGAGAAAAAACCCGUCGAACCUGAUCCGGUUAAUACCGGCGAAGGGAUUUGAGAGUGCAUUUUGC